GACGAACGCUGGCGGCGUGCUUAGCACAUGCAAGUCGAACGGAAAGGCCCUGCUUUUGUGGGGUGCUCGAGUGGCGAACGGGUGAGUAACACGUGAGUAACCUGCCCUUGACUUUGGGAUAACUUCAGGAAACUGGGGCUAAUACCGGAUAGGAGCUCCUGCUGCAUGGUGGGGGUUGGAAAGUUUCGGCGGUUGGGGAUGGACUCGCGGCUUAUCAGCUUGUUGGUGGGGUAGUGGCUUACCAAGGCUUUGACGGGUAGCCGGCCUGAGAGGGUGACCGGCCACAUUGGGACUGAGAUACGGCCCAGACUCCUACGGGAGGCAGCGGUGGGGAAUAUUGCACAAUGGGCGGAAGCCUGAUGCAGCAACGCCGCGUGCGGGAUGACGGCCUUCGGGUUGUAAACCGCUUUCGCCUGUGACGAAGCGUGAGUGACGGUAAUGGGUAAAGAAGCACCGGCUAACCACGUG
rnacentral:rRNA from 1 species